GACGAACGCUGGCGGCGUGCUUAACACAUGCAAGUCGAACGGAAAGGCCCUGCUUUUGUGGGGUGCUCGAGUGGCGAACGGGUGAGUAACACGUGAGUAACCUGCCCUUGACUUUGGGAUAACUUCAGGAAACUGGGGCUAAUAUCGGAUAGGAGCUCCUGCUGCAUGGUGGGGGUUGGAAAGUUUCGGCGGUUGGGGAUGGACUCGCGGCUUAUCAGCUUGUUGGUGGGGUAGUGGUUUACCAAGGCUUUGACGGGUAGCCGGCCUGAGAGGGUGACCGGGCACAAUGGGACUGAGAUACGGACCAGUCUCCAACGGGAGGCAGCAGUGGGGAAUAUUACACAGUGAGCGGGAGCGUGAUGCGACGACGCCGCGUGCGGGAUGACGGCCUUCGGGUUGUAAACCGCUUUCGCCUGAGACGAAGCGUGAGUGACGGUAAUGAGUAAAGAAGCACCGGCUAACUACGUG
rnacentral:rRNA from 1 species